rnacentral:rRNA from 1 species
UAAUACGGAAGGGGCAAGCGUUGUUCGGAAUCAUUGGGCGUAAAGGGCGCGUAGGUGGUUCUGUAUGUCUACCGUGAAAGCAUACAGCUCAACUGUAUUUUGUCGGUAGAAACUGCAGGACUUGAGGCUGGGAGGGGCUGGUGGAAUUCCCUGUGUAGCGGUGAAAUGCGUAGAGAUGGGGGAGAACACUCGUGGCGAAGGCGGCCAGCUAGACCAGUUCUGACACUGAGGCGCGACAGCGUGGGGAGCAAACAGGAUUAGAUACCCCGGUAGUCCUAGCCGUAAACGGUGAUCACUAGGUGUUGGAGGCAUCGACCCCUCCAGUGCCGCAGCUAACGCAUUAAGUGAUCCGCCUGGGGAGUACGGCCGCAAGGUUG